rnacentral:RNase_P_RNA from 1 species
UUCGCUUCUUAAAAAGAAGAGGAAAGUCCGGACACCACAGAGCGGAAUUCCGAUUGAAAAGUCGGGGAACGUUUUUGGGUUAAAAGCUUGAAUAACGUUCACGGAAAGUGCCACAGAAAACAAACCGCCGAGAAAUCGGCAAGGGUGAAAAGGCGGGGUAAGAGCCCACCGCGCCGCAAAGCAAUUUGUGGCGGCACGGCAAACCCAAUUCGGUGCAAGACAGCGUAAGAAGAAGGACUGCUCGUCCGCUAAUCUUCGGGUAUGUCGCACUCCUUGCGGAGACGCCUCGGCGUAGAUAAAUGAAUGCUAUGGCGCAAAGAAACGCCUUUGCGCCGAAACAGAAUUCGGCUUACAGCUU